rnacentral:rRNA from 1 species
GCCAGACUCCUACGGGAGGCAGCAGUGGGGAAUAUUGCACAAUGGGGGGAACCCUGAUGCAGCGACGCCGCGUGGGCGAGGAAGUAUUUCGGUAUGUAAAGCCCUAUCGGCAGGGAAGAAGAAAUGACGGUACCUGAAUAAGAAGCACCGGCUAAAUACGUGCCAGCAGCCGCGGUAAUACGUAUGGUGCAAGCGUUAUCCGGAUUUAUUGGGUUUAAAGGGUGCGCAGGCGGCCUGUUAAGUCAGCGGUAAAAGCCGGGGGCUCACCCCCGGCGAGCCGUUGAAACUGGCGGGCUGGAGUUGGAGAGAAGUACGCGGAAUGCGCGGUGUAGCGGUGAAAUGCAUAGAUAUCACGCAGAACGCCGAUUGCGAAGGCAGCAUACCGGCGCCCGACUGACGCUGAGGCACGAAAGCGUGGGUAUCGAACAGGAUUAGAUACCCGCGUAGCA